GCACUUUUGACGAGUCCAAAACAGGACGAAACAGCUGUCCAGUGC
rfam:Echinostoma caproni strain Egypt genome assembly, scaffold: ECPE_scaffold0006665